CCUACGGGAGGCAGCAGUGGGGAAUAUUGCACAAUGGGGGAAACCCUGAUGCAGCGACGCCGCGUGAGUGAAGAAGUAUUUCGGUACGUAAAGCUCUAUCAGCAGGGAAGAAAAUGACGGUACCUGACUAAGAAGCCCCGGCUAACUACGUGCCAGCAGCCGCGGUAAUACGUAGGGGGCAAGCGUGAUCCGGAUUUACUGGGUGUAAAGGGAGCGUAGACGGCAGCGCAAGUCUGGAGUGAAAUCCCAUGGCUUAACCAUGGAACUGCUUUGGAAACUGUGCAGCUAGAGUGCAGGAGAGGUAAGCGGAAUUCGUAGUGUAGCGGUGAAAUGCGUAGAUAUUAGGAGGAACACCAGUGGCGAAGGCGGCUUACUGGACUGUAACUGACGUUGAGGCUCGAAAGCGUGGGGAGCAAACAGGAUUAGAUACCCGGGUAGUC
rnacentral:rRNA from 1 species